rnacentral:tRNA from 1 species
GCCGCCGUAGCUCAACGGUAGAGCACCUGAUUUGUAAUCAGGGGGUUGCGGGUUCGAUUCCCAUCGGCGGCUCCA